AAGGAUCAUUAUUGAAAUUUCGAAGGAGGUUUUGUUGCUGACCCUUUCGAGGGUACGUGCACACCUCUUGACCAUUUUCCUCUUACACCUGUGCACCUCUGGUAGGCCAAGAAAUUGGUCUACGUUUUUACAUCUUUAUACACUUUGUAUGUGAACGUUCUUCUGGAAGCUCCCCCAUUCCUUGGGAGGGCCGAAAGAAUAUAAAUAAAACACAACUUUCAACAACGGAUCUCUUGGCUCUCGCAUCGAUGAAGAACGCAGCGAAAUGCGAUAAGUAAUGUGAAUUGCAGAAUUCAGUGAAUCAUCGAAUCUUUGAACGCACCUUGCGCUCCUUGGUAUUCCGAGGAGCAUGCCUGUUUGAGUGUCGUGAAAUUCCUCAACUUUGCCAACCUUGGCAAGGCUUGGACUUUGGAGUGUGCCGGACUUUGCUUAUGAGGUCGGCUCCUCUGAAAUGUAUCAGCAAAACCUGUGGCAGGGUUGAAGCUUUGGUUUGAUAAUUCCUCUUUGGUCUUAAGCCAUAGCUGUCUGCUCGGAUUUGCUUGCUCCCAAGGGGUUACAAAGCCCCUUUUUGACACUCUGACCUCAAAUCAGGUAGGACUACCCGCUGAACUUAR
rnacentral:rRNA from 1 species